rnacentral:rRNA from 1 species
UGCGUAGGGGGCAAGCGUUGUCCGGAAUCAUUGGGCGUAAAGCGCGUGUAGGCGGCCCGAUAAGUCCGCUGUGAAAGUCCAGGGCUCAACCCUGGGAUGCCGGUGGAUACUGUCGGGCUCGAGUCCGGAAGAGGAGUGUGGAAUUCCUGGUGUAGCGGUGAAAUGCACAGAUAUCAGGAGGAACACCAAUGGCGAAGGCAGCACUCUGGGACGUGACUGACGCUGAGACGCGAAAGCGUGGGGAGCGAACAGG